GUUCUGAAGACCCCAUUAACAAUUUGUUUUUCAGACCCAUUAUGAACUAAGCAGCAGCAAUCAUAUCCCUCAGCCUCAUUCCAGCACAUCCACCUGCAGAACACACACAGAACCAUAGCCAAAUCCAAGCAACACACACAUUCCCUGACAUAAAAUGUCUUUCCUCACGAGGACAUAUGCUGUACAAACACUGCUGCCAUCUUUACGCUCCAAAGGCCAAAGAUCCACUCAUCUGCAGAGCCUGCUGUGCAGCUGGAGGAAUCUGCAAACCAGUACCUGGAACAGAACACAGAGAGAACUUGGAAUCUGUGGAGUGUUCCAAUUCAAAUUCGGCAAACUUCUUCAACACUUGUUAUCCAACACCGCACACACCUUCUGCAAGUCGUGCCAUCAACUGAAGGCGACCAGUUGUUCCCAAAUCAAUUCCAGUCCGUUCCAACUCAUCACUGUCCAAAAAUGAGCUAGCACUGGAAGCAUCAGUACGCUCAGUUACAUGUCCAACUUUCAUUGGCCUCCCAGCCAGCUCAAAUCCAUUGAGUUGUUCCAGGGCCUUUUUGGCACACUCAGAGUCUGAGAACUGUAGAUCAGAAAAACACAAACUCAGUAAUACUUGUCUACAGGAGUCAGCAACACUUCUACUAUAUGUAAUACUCACAAUUACACAAAUAGGAAAAACUCUUCUAGAUAAUAGCAACAAGCUAACAUACAUGUGCUCAGAAUUUUUCAUUUAAACCAAACACACAUAUUUUGGUAUCUACUUUCUCACAGUUAGGUACAAUAUAUUUAAAUAUAUUGCUGAAGAUACAGCAUCUAGAUACUGCAAUCAAUAGAAGUCAUGGCUGCGGCUCUCUUCCAAGAGUGACACCCAAUUCCUUUGCAACCUUAUAACUGCCAUGGUAUUUACAGGUUAUUCCUAACAGAUAUUCUGCUUUAUGUUGUGAAACAUCAAAAUAAACACAAGCAUUUUAUCAGUGUUAAAACCAUCAAGUAUGAACUAUA